GAUGAACGCUAGCGGCAGGCUUAACACAUGCAAGUCGAGGGGUAACAUAGAAAAGCUUGCUUUUCUGAUGACGACCGGCGCACGGGUGCGUAACGCGUAUACAACCUACCUUUUAGCGGGGAAUAGCCCAGGGAAACUUGGAUUAAUGCCCCAUAGUAUAUAGACUUCUCCUGAAGUUUAUAUUAAACAUUUAUGGCUAUUAGAUGGGUAUGCGUCCUAUUAGUUAGUUGGUAAGGUAACGGCUUACCAAGGCAGCGAUAGGUAGGGGUCCUGAGAGGGAGAUCCCCACACUGGUACUGAGACACGGACCAGACUCCUACGGGAGGCAGCAGUGAGGAAUAUUGGACAAUGGGCGAGAGCCUGAUCCAGCCAUGCCGCGUGCAGGAAGACUGCCCUAUGGGUUGUAAACUGCUUUUACAGAGGAAGAACCACCCCCACGUGUGGGGGUUUGACGGUACUCUGCGAAUAAGGAUUGGCUAACUCCGUG
rnacentral:rRNA from 1 species